rnacentral:rRNA from 1 species
UACGUAGGGUGCGAGCGUUGUCCGGAAUUAUUGGGCGUAAAUAGCUCGUAGGCGGCUUGUUGCGUCUGCCGUGAAAAUUCACAGCUUAACUGUGGACGUGCGGUGGAUACGGGCAGGCUAGAGGUAGGUAGGGGAGAAUGGAAUUCCCGGUGUAGCGGUGAAAUGCGCAGAUAUCGGGAGGAACACCGGUGGCGAAGGCGGUUCUCUGGGCCUUACCUGACGCUGAGGAGCGAAAGCGUGGGGAGCGAACAGG